rnacentral:rRNA from 1 species
GAUGAACGCUGGCGGCGUGCUUAACACAUGCAAGUCGAGCGAAGCACUUUUGCGGAUUUCUUCGGAUUGAAGUAAUUGUGACUGAGCGGCGGACGGGUGAGUAACGCGUGGGUAACCUGCCUCAUACAGGGGGAUAACAGUUGGAAACGGCUGCUAAUACCGCAUAAGCGCACAGUACCGCAUGGUACGGUGUGAAAAACUCCGGUGGUAUGAGAUGGACCCGCGUCUGAUUAGGUAGUUGUGGGGUAACGGCCUACCAAGCCGACGAUCAGUAGCCGACCUGAGAGGGUGACCGGCCACAUUGGGGACUGAGACACGGGCCCAAACUCCUACGGGAGGCAGCAGUGGGGAAUAUUGCACAAUGGGGGAAACCCUGAUGCAGCGACGCCGCGUGAGCGAUGAAGUAUUUCGGUAUGUAAAGCUCUAUCAGCAGGGAAAAAAUGAC